AGGUUUCCGCUUCCGCUCUUCCCUGGUCCAGUCCACCCUGGCGGGGUCGCAGGGUUGGGAUGGCGGCUGGAGGCGAUCAUGGUUCGCCCGACAGCUACCGCUCACCUCUUGCCUCCCGCUAUGCCAGCCCGGAGAUGUGCUUCGUGUUUAGCGACAGGUAUAAAUUCCGGACAUGGCGGCAGCUGUGGCUGUGGCUGGCGGAGGCCGAGCAGACAUUGGGUUUGCCUAUCACAGAUGAACAAAUCCAGGAGAUGAAAUCAAACCUGGAGAACAUCGACUUCAAGAUGGCAGCUGAGGAAGAGAAACGUUUACGACAUGAUGUGAUGGCUCACGUGCACACAUUUGGCCACUGCUGUCCAAAAGCUGCAGGCAUUAUUCACCUUGGUGCUACUUCUUGCUAUGUUGGAGACAAUACUGACUUGAUUAUUCUUAGAAAUGCACUUGACCUGCUUUUGCCAAAGCUUGCCAGAGUGAUCUCUCGGCUUGCCGACUUUGCUAAGGAACGAGCCAGUCUACCCACAUUAGGUUUCACACAUUUCCAGCCUGCACAGCUGACCACAGUUGGGAAACGUUGCUGUCUUUGGAUUCAGGAUCUUUGCAUGGAUCUCCAGAACUUGAAGCGUGUCCGAGAUGACCUGCGCUUCCGGGGAGUAAAGGGUACCACUGGCACUCAGGCCAGUUUCCUGCAGCUCUUUGAGGGAGAUGACCAUAAGGUAGAGCAGCUUGACAAGAUGGUGACAGAAAAGGCAGGAUUUAAGAGAGCUUUCAUCAUCACAGGGCAGACAUAUACACGAAAAGUGGAUAUUGAAGUACUGUCUGUGCUGGCUAGCUUGGGGGCAUCAGUGCACAAGAUUUGCACCGACAUACGCCUCCUGGCAAACCUCAAGGAGAUGGAGGAACCCUUUGAAAAACAGCAGAUUGGCUCAAGUGCGAUGCCAUAUAAGCGGAAUCCCAUGCGUUCAGAACGUUGCUGCAGUCUUGCCCGCCACCUGAUGACCCUUGUCAUGGACCCGCUACAGACAGCAUCUGUCCAGUGGUUUGAACGCACACUGGAUGAUAGUGCCAACCGGUCAGUGGCACAGGGACAUCACAUACACCAAACGGAUCUGUUUGGCCGAGGCAUUUCUUACCGCAGAUACUAUAUUGAAUACGCUGCAGAACAUUUCUGAAGGAUUGGUCGUGUACCCCAAAGUAAUUGAACGGCGCAUUCGGCAAGAGCUGCCUUUCAUGGCCACAGAGAACAUCAUCAUGGCCAUGGUCAAAGCUGGAGGUAGCCGCCAGGAUUGCCAUGAGAAAAUCAGAGUGCUUUCUCAGCAGGCAGCUUCUGUGGUUAAGCAGGAAGGGGGUGACAAUGACCUCAUAGAGCGUAUCCAGGUUGAUGCCUACUUCAGUCCCAUUCACUCCCAGUUGGAUCAUUUACUGGAUCCUUCUUCUUUCACUGGUCGUGCCUCCCAGCAGGUGCAGAGAUUCUUAGAAGAGGAGGUGUAUCCCCUGUUAAAACCAUAUGAAAGCGUGAUGAAGGUGAAAGCAGAAUUAUGUCUGUAGAGUUGGAAGAGAAUUAAACGAAAAUCAUUGUUAAUUGCUGAGGCAUGAAAAUUGUGUUACUAUAAUGCCUUAUUUUACCUCGAGAAUUGUUACCUUAAAUUAGUACAGCACUUUCUUCUUCCCAUGGUGCUUUCCUGUUUCUCAGUCUCACAUUUCUCAACAAGGCAAAAACAAAGAGCGUUGAAGUUGACUCUGCUCUUGCAUAGUAAAUGUAGUUCAUACUUGAUCUCUGUUCUUUCAAGGCAUAUUUUCCAGCUGCCUCAAGUUUAGUCCUUUUCACGUGUUCAUUUGCUUGUAAAGUAGCAAGAAAUUUCUGGUCCUGUCUUCUAAAAGUGAAUUUGAUCUAGGUCUAGCAAAAUAACCUGGACUCAGUGAUUGAGUCAAUGGUCAGAUACCUUUUAUUUCGGUUAUUUUUGGCUAGUAUAAGUGAUGAAGUUUGGAACUACAGUAAAUACUUAAAAAAAAAAAAAAAAAGAACCAAACCCUGAUGUGACCAUCAGGCUGAUUGAGCUGAAGUUGUGCCCAAGCUCAUUUCAUCUUUUGAUAAGGCUUAUACAGCAGGGAAAUGCUAAUUGAGUAUAUUGAUUUCAUCAGGGCCGCUGACAGUCUUUAUUCCUUGUUGCAUGGAUUUUGUUGUUGAGGCUUGCUCUGUCACCCAGACUAGAGUGCAGUAGCACAAUCUUGGCUCACUGCAACCUCCGCCUCUCAGGUUCAAGCGAUUCUCCAGCCUCAGCCUCCCAAGUAGCUGGGAUUACAGGCGCCUGCCGCCAUGCCUGGCUAAUUUUUGUAUUUUUAGACGGGAUGGAGUUUUGCCAUGUUGGGCGGGCUGGUCUUGAACUCCUGACCUCAAGUGAUCCGCCCAUCUCAGCCUCCCAAAGUUCUGGGAUUAUAGACAUGAGCCACCACACCCAGCCUAAUCUUGUUUUCUUUUUUUACUUGUUUACAGUGUAAGCAAGUGCCAUUGGACAAGAACGUUGUCUGUGUCAUUCCUUGUUGUAUUUCCAAUAGCAAGAGCACAUCAGAUACUUGGCAACUAGGCAGUCUUCCAGCUUCUGCCACUGCGCCCGACUUCCUUGUUGCAUGGAUUUAUAGCUGAUUGAAGCAACUGUAGCCAAAGAUUGAGUUAAUUACCUACCUGCCAGGAGAGCACUAGUGUUAUUUAGCCCAUUCUCAUCCUACAUAUUUUUCGGCAUAGAUGAAAAUGAAAGCUUUUGUUUAUCAGAUUUGCAGAUGACACAAAACUGGGAGAAUUAACAAGUAUGUUUAUUUGGUAAAAUAAGUUUUCAUCUCUAACCUAAAUCGGCUGAAAUGAUGUGUCCUAAACUAGAGGAAAAAGUUAAUAAAGAUCAAUGUAAAUAAGUUAAUCUUAAACUCAGUAUGCACCAGAACUGAGAGAAGACUGUUUUAGGAGGUGUUAAUGGUUGUCCAGUGCCCAAAAAGCCACCAGAGGCUUACUGCUCCGCACUCUUGGCAUUACAUUCAAUUUUGGAUACCCAGUCUGAGGAAUAGAGAUGAACUGGAGAGCCAACCUCCAAAAAGAUCUUGUGGUGGAGGAAUGUUAGGGCUCUUUAUCCUAUACAGAAGAAAACUCCUCGGCACUUCAAAUAUUGCCAGGUGCAGGAAGAGUGACUUGAUUGUGUGUUGCCCCAAGAGACACACUGAGCUCAAUACCCAUUACUGAGACUGGCUUGGGGCCAGACAUUGGAACCACUGAGAUUAGCAACCUACACUCAAUCCCCCAGGUCAGGCAGAAGCUGGAAGACUGCCUCGUUAGGAAUGUUGUGAGGGAGAGGAGGCUGAAUCGGUUCCAGUUUUAUUUAAAAGUAGCCAGGAAAUCAGGUUGCGAUGAUGCGCAUUUACAGUCCCAGCUACUUGGGAAGCUGAGGCGAUAGGGUCACUUGAGCCCAAGAGUUUAGUCCAGGCUGGGUGACAGCGAGCCCUUGUCACUUAAAGCCAACCUAAGAGAAGAGCUUAUCCUUUUGGAAAAACAAUAGAAGACAAUUCUGAAAACCAAAUUCUGAACAUAGGCUAGUAUAGCAAGCAAGCAGGGAUAGCAUAGAGCCAUUUGCUCAACUUCCAGAAAGAGUUACUCUGUUCAUCUCUAAAAAAUCUUGAAAAGGGCCGGGUGCGGUGGUGGCUCACGCCUGUAAUCCCAACACUUUGGGAGGCCGAGGCAGGUGGAUCACCUGAGGUCAGGAGUUCGAGACCAGCUUGACCGACAAGGUGAAACUCCGUCUCUACUAAAAAUACAAUCAACCGGGCGUGGUGGCAGGCGCCUAUAGUCCCAGCUACUUGGGAGGCUGAGACAGGAGAAUUGCUUGAACCUGGGAGGCAGAAGUUGCAGUGAGCCAAGAUCAUGCCACUGUACUCCAGCCUGGGCAACGGAGCGAGACUCCAUCUGAAAAAACAAAACAGAAAAAAUCUUGAAAGGAUACUAAGUCUGACACAAGGAAAUUAAGUCAUGGGACUCUGACCAGAUAUUCUGUCUACUUCCUUCUCUGCUAUGGGCAACUUGGAGGCAGCAACUACUAUCAGUUUAUCUGUAAUGUGAGAAUUUAUAUUACAUAACAGAUACUGGGGAUAUAGGAUACCAUGGAUUUUAGUUAAUACAUUUCCUCAUAGAAAAUAAGGAAAUAACAGUCUUGUUCCUGUCCUAACAAUUCUGUUAGACUAAUGAUCUCCAGUGAUUGGCGAUUUGACCUGGUUUCUUCCUGGACUAUUUGAAUGGGUGGAUUUGUUGGUGCAUCUCUUGUCUUCUUUCCUUUUCCAUUCUCCUUUAUUUUUGUAUUUACAUACUUGUAUGCAACUUUGUAAUCUGAUUUUCCCAUGUAACAUUUUAAUUUGA